rnacentral:rRNA from 1 species
CACGUAGGGCGCAAGCGUUGUCCGGAAUUAUUGGGCGUAAAGAGCUCGUAGGCGGCUUGUCGCGUCGACUGUGAAAACCCGCAGCUCAACCGUGUGGUCUGCAGUCGAUACGGGCAGGCUAGAGUUCGGUAGGGGAGACUGGAAUUCCUGGUGUAGCGGUGAAAUGCGCAGAUAUCAGGAGGAACACCGGUGGCGAAGGCGGGUCUCUGGGCCGAUACUGAC